UGUUGCUCCUCAGGAGGAGGAUUCACCUGGCUGAGCAGAGGAAGCUGGUGGAGAGGAAAAGCAUUUGGGAUGCUGUGGAAUCAUCACCUGGUACAGGAAGAGAGAAGAAUGACGUCUGUGUGUCUGGGGCUCUGCUGGUGGCAGCAGCUCUCCCCUGUGCCCACCCAAAGGAGAAGAAGAAAGGGAUGAAGUCAGAAGUGAGUUCCAGCCUUGAGAAGUCGGCUGGCUGUGCUUUUGGGGAGUUUUCUUCAGAAGCUGGUUGAAGUUGGUCGAAUUUGCCAAGUGAUCCUCACCUGGAAUUCAUUGCUCGUUGUAAUUCUCUUGGUGCUGUGGUGGCAGGGGCUGAUCUGCUGCAGCUGGAACUUGUUGCACAGCCCAUCUGGAUCCUGAAACACUUUAAAUCCCGCCUACCCUGAGUUGUGUAAUUAAAUGGAAUCAAGUGGCUUGGUGGGUGCCAGCAGAUUGGGCUGCAGGGUCUGCAUGGGCUGUCCAGACUGCGCUGAAGAAAAGGCACAGGGAGAGAACAUCUGAAAAUCUACCUGGGAGAGCACUAAAUGACUCCUCUACGUAUUGCUAAAGUGCUGUUUCCCUGCUAUAAAUUCCUGGAGUGAAAACCAGAGAAGCAGGCAGAGCCACCUCUCCAAGAGACCCUGAGCAUGGAUACAAAAGGAAACAAAGACUGAAGAGUGAGACUAUAAUUUUGUGGCAUUACAAGGACACUUUGUUCAGUCCUUUGCUUCCUUCUCCUCAAUAUUGUUUCGCGCUACUUUUAUUUCGAGUUGGUGCUUUAGCCCCUUGCGGAUUGCACCCCUGAAAGGGUGACCUGGGUGAGCUGUGUGUGGUAUGAGUUAAACGUGGCAAUCAGCAAACUCUGCAAAGAGAGGAAAAACUUUCCCUGUGCACACCAAGUUUAUGAAAAGUCUUUGUAUGAAUAAAAUAGCACUUGGAUCUCAAGAGCUUUGUCAAGUAUUGGAGAAAUUAUCCUUUUUCCAUGCAUCAGGAACUGGUGACAGAGACAACAGCAGCCUGACAGCUGCUGGGGAGGCCGUGUGUGACCAAUCCCAGCUUCCUAUAGUCAGGAACUGAAUGUGUGGGGAUUUAUUUGAAGCCCCCAGAGCAAGCUGUCAGGAUUUUUAGCCUAUAAAGCAGUGUGACACUGGGUUAUUUUGCCUUUAAAGGAAAUGGUGCCCAGCAGGUCCUGUUAAGUUUUGAACUUGUAGCCCCACCAAGGAGGCUAUUUAGAAAUGAGUCCAUCUGACCAAACAGCAGAUGUGAGGGCAGCUGGCUUGGUGUGAGUUACCACCUCUGUGGAGAGGUGUGGGCUUGUGCUGGGAGGUUCUCACUGGCUUCUGUCAGCCAGCCAGAAGUGGAUUAUUCUGGAGGAACAACAGACAGACCCUGGGCUUUGUCAGCUGCAGAGCCGUUUUUCUUUGGUUGGCAGCCAGCAACUUGCUGUGCUACUAUCCUGUUCCUCAGCUGAGGUUCCUCAGACAAAUGAAAGAGCAGUGAUGACGGAGAAAGAAGUGGCAGCAGCUGGAAGAAGAUGCCCCUCAGAUUCAUAUUUGCUUGGGGAGCCAGAAGAUCCUGCAGAGUCUUCUGGGGCUGGAAGUGGCAGUGCUCAGCUCUGCCAUGACAUGAGAUGCAUUCCCUCCCUUCUGUGAUGACUGAAGUGGGAAAUGGGCUGUGUUCCAGACCUGUAGCCUGUGGCAUUGGGCUGAAGAGAUAAGAAUUCGCAGAAAUGUAGAGCACCACAAAGCGUCUGAGCAAAAUUGAAAUGACAAAGUUCUUACAGUAGAACUUCCAUAACUGGAAGCGUUUCAGACUGUGUUGUCCUCCCUGAUAACUGCAGUCAGCUUUCAUGCUCCUUUCUUAUCUUCUCCUGCCAUGUAUGCAAUUAUCAAAAACAUUUGUUGAAAAAGCUUCCCUUGGUUGGGUUUUCUGUUCUGUGUGCAAUCCUUACAGCCAAACUGAGUGUGCACAUGGGUGUUAUCUCCCAGAGGUUUGAGCAGUGAUGUCUCCUGUCUCCAUAUCCCAAAUGCUGGUUGUAUAUGGAGCAAAGUCUGGUGUUUACAGGCACCCACAGUCCAGACAAGCCACUGUCAGUGUGCAUCCACAAAAGCCACACAGUUGGUCUAGAAACCAAGAUAUUGCUUGAUGCAGAGUUUUGCAUGUGCAGAGUGUUUUUGAAGGCAUUCUGUCCUGCUAAAGAACAGCUUGGGUGCUGAAGUACAGCUACUACUUCACUGGCAGAGUUUUCUGAUGUAUGAGGAAAACUUAAGAUGAGCUGGGAAAACAUUGAUACCCUCCUGCGAUCCUCCCCCAUGCUUGCAUUUCACAGAGUCAUUCUGUCUCGUAGUAAGUUGAGCAUUUUGGGGAAAGGAAGUGGCACCUGCCACAGAGAAGCCUUUUAAUCCCUCAGUGGGGCCCUUGUGACUUCAGCAGGGAUGAGGAUUUCACUGCUCCUCAGCAUGAGGGAUGGUGCUGCUUGGCCGUGUCACCGGUACUCAUGGUGCUCAGGAGCCAAACCUGUAGAUUUGUAUUCUUUUAAAGCCAUCAGUUGCUCUCCUUUGCCAAUGGAUAUGUUAUUUGACUUCUUAGGCCAUUAAAAAAAUGAUCUUAGUGUCAUUUGUCACAGUUUCAAAAGAGCACUGCUGAUCAACAGGCCAUUCCUUCAAAAUGAACCUGUCUAGACAGCAGGAGGGGUGAGCAAAGUGUGAUCUUGGCCCUAUUACCAUAUAUCAUAAUUCUCAUUUCUUCCUCUCUUUCCUAGAAAGCAGGGUUGCUGUUCACAAGCAGAAUUUGGGGAUGCUUUGCUGGAUCAUGCUCAAACUUCUAUGACAAUCCUUUUACUACUGCUUUUCUUGUUCCUGAUGGUGUGGGUAGGA